GCCUCAGUGGCCAAGUGGUAAGGCGUCGGUCUCGUAAACCGAAGAUCAUGGGUUCAAACCCCAUCUGAGCCU
rnacentral:tRNA from 1 species